rnacentral:rRNA from 1 species
UACGUAUGGAGCAAGCGUUAUCCGGAUUUACUGGGUGUAAAGGGAGCGCAGACGGUAUGGCAAGUCAGAUGUGAAAGCCCGGGGCUCAACCCCGGAACUGCAUUUGAAACUGUUAAACUGGAGUGCAGGAGAGGUAAGCGGAAUUCCUAGUGUAGCGGUGAAAUGCGUAGAUAUUAGGAGGAACACCGGUGGCGAAGGCGGCUUACUGGACUGUAACUGACGUUGAGGCUCGAAAGCGUGGGGAGCAAAC